UACGUAGGGGGCUAGCGCUGUCCGGAAUCAUUGGGCGUAAAGCGCGUGUAGGCGGUCCGGUAAGUCCGCUGUGAAAGUCGAGGGCUCAACCCUCGAAUGCCGGUGGAUACUGUCGGGCUAGAGUGCGGAAGAGGCGAGUGGAAUUCCUGGUGUAGCGGUGAAAUGCGCAGAUAUCAGGAGGAACACCUAUUGCGAAGGCAGCUCGCUGGGACGUUACUGACGCUGAGACGCGAAAGCGUGGGGAGCAAACAGG
rnacentral:rRNA from 1 species